rnacentral:rRNA from 1 species
AACGAACGCUGGCGGCAUGCCUAACACAUGCAAGUCGAACGAGACCUUCGGGUCUAGUGGCGCACGGGUGCGUAACGCGUGGGAAUCUGCCCUUUGUUUGGGAAUACCGGUUGGAACAGAUUGCUAAUAGGGAGAAUGAGGAAAUUCAAAAGAUUUAUCGCCAGAGGAUGAGCCCGCGUAGGAUUAGCUAGUUGGUGUGGUAAAGGCGCACCAAGGCGACGAUCCUUAGCUGGUCUGAGAGGAUGAUCAGCCACACUGGGACUGAGACACGGCCCAGACUCCUACGGGAGGCAGCAGUGGGGAAUAUUGGACAAUGGGCGAAAGCCUGAUCCAGCAAUGCCGCGUGAGUGAUGAAGGCCUUAGGGUUGUAAAGCUCUUUUACCCGGGAUGAUAAUGACAGUACCGGGAGAAUAAGCUCCGGCUAACUCCGUGCCAGCAGCCGCCGUAA